rnacentral:ncRNA from 2 species
GUGUGCGGUCCCGCAGCGGGACCUGCAGGAUGUCUGCCGCUGGUCGGGCCGCCAGCG